rnacentral:rRNA from 1 species
GCUCGUAGUUGGAUCUAGGGCGCUGGUCGGUGGUCCGCCGCAAGGUGUGUACUGUCGGCCGGUCUCUUUUUUCUGGUUUUCCGUCGGUGCUCUUAACUGAGUGUCGGCGGUGGCCAGUGCGUUUACUUUGAAAAAAUUAGAGUGUUUAAAGCAGGCUGUUUGCCUGAAUAUCGGUGCAUGGAAUAAUGGAAUAGGACCUCGAGUCUAUUUUGUUGGUUUUCGGAAGCGAGGUAAUGAUUAAGAGGGACAGACGGGGGCAUCCGUACUCUGCCGUUAGAGGUGAAAUUCUUGGAUCGGCGGAAGACGAACUAUUGCGAAAGCAUUUGCCAAGAAUGUUUUCUUUAAUCAAGAGCGAAAGUCAGAGGUUCGAAGACGAUCAGAUACCGUCCUAGUUCUGACCAUAAACGAUGCCAACUAGCGAUCCGCCGGCGUUACCAUGACGACUCGGCGGGUAGCUCCCGGGAAACCAAAGUCUUUGGGUUCCGGGGGAAGUAUGGUUGCAAAGCUGAAACUUAAAGGAAUUGACGGAAGGGCACCACCAGGAGUGGAGCCUGCGGCUUAAUUUGACUCAACACGGGGAAACUCACCCGGCCCGGACACAGGUAGGAUUGACGGAUUGAGAGCUCUUUCUUGAUUCUGUGGGUGGUGGUGCAUGGCCGUUCUUAGUUGGUGGAGCGAUUUGUCUGGUUAAUUCCGAUAACGAACGAGACUCUAAUGUGCUAAAUAGUUACGCGACCUUAUCGGUCGGCGUUUGGAAACUUCUUAGAUAGACUAGUGGCGCUUAGCCACACGAAAGUGAGCAAUAACAGGUCUGUGAUGCCCUUAGAUGUCCGGGGCUGCACGCGCGCUACAAUGAAUAAGACAGCGUGUCGUUAACCUUGGCCGAAAGGUCUGGGAAACCCCGUAAAUUUAUUCGUGCUUGGGAUAGAGAUCUGGAAUUUCUCUAAACGAGGAAUCCC